rnacentral:lncRNA from 1 species
UAAUGAACAAUAUAUAGUUCAUUUUGAAAUGCCGGAUUGUAAGACUUAUUUUGUGACUCUGUUUCUGUCGGAAGGAACUGACACGAUAGAUUACAUUGGCAACCCAGAGAGCCGUAAAACAAAGGUAUGUACUUCAAUAUUUUUUAUAUAAAUUGAAAAAUGAUUUGAUUAGAAAUCUGUUAUAAAACAUUUUGUAAACAGAGCAACAAAUCGCCGAUAAACUUGAGAUAAAGAUAAUGAUAAUGUGGAUGACAGGGAAGCGGCAGACGAUCAUGAGCAAUGCCAAUGGCAAAAAUAUUUCUGUAGAAAAUACUAUGCUGUAAAAUACACGUAUUUUUUGUUUCAACUUCGAUAUUUGUAAAAACUAAUCAACCCAGCAAGAUUUAUUUAGUUUAUCAACUGAAUUAGAGGGGGAAAUAUCCAUCACUGAUUUUGACAAAACAUUUAAGUACAUUAAAAUUACAUUGAAUAAGUGAUCAGCCGCCGUGGCUCAAUGGUACACAUCGCUGCUCUGCAACCUAGACGGUCAUAGAUCGUAUCUCAGACACAUUUUUUUUUUUUUUUUUUUUUUAAAUAUAUAAAUAAUGUCACCUGAAUGUAAUACUCGGUUCUUUAAGGAAAUAACAAACAUAACAAACACUUAUAAGGCACAAAGAUGUUCACUAGACCUAUAUCAUGCGGGAAUUGUAGAUAAUGAAUAUUACUGUUAUUUCCUUUCAUGAUUUUAUUGAAAGUGACUUCUCAGCUUAAAUGAUUAAAAAACCAACAAGCAAACAAUUAAAGGCUAUGCUUCCCUGUCACGCCAACUCUGUGUAUUUUUAAAAAAUAUUUCUGCUUUGUAUCCAUCCAUCUGCUGAGUUACGCCAUUUUCGAAUGAUUUUUAUAGUCAAUUCUUAUGUGUCCUUGUCGGUGUUGUUGCAAGGGGGGUUACUUCCUAUUUUUUUAGUGGUAUGAGUGUGCCGCAAAACAGGGUAACUUUUUCAUGCCCUGUUUGUUAGAACAGUCUCCCUUUUUCAUGUCCUGCUGGUUAGAACAGGGUCGUCCUUUCAUGCCUUGCUGGUGAGAACAAGGUCUUUUUUAAACAAAGUAUUUGUCUAGAACAGGAUCGCGUAUAUAACUGUUUAAGAUACAGUAUAGAGCCCAGGUCUAGAACUGCAUCUAUUUUAUACGGUCUAGAACAGGGUAUACAUUUUUUGAGCGUGUAUAGAACAGGGUAUGUUUUUUCAAUAUUUUUGUUUAGAACAGGAUAUAUGUUUUUCAAUAUUUUCUGGUUAGAACAGGAUAUGAUUCGGCAAGUGCUGUCGGCACAGUUAUGCCAUAAAGGAUAGUCAGUAACCCAACCCCACAACCUAACCAUGCCAACCACAGCGAAAAUCUAUGAUACAUUUUUAAUCAACAUAACUUUUUUUCUUUUUUUAGAUUCGAGAUACGUUGUUGUACGUCGCAGCAAUACCCAUGGCUUGGUUUAUUCACGCAUGGAUUGUCCUAGACAUUAAAAGAUGGCGGUGGUAGUGAAAACAUGUAUUAAACUUAAAUGUAAGUUGCAAAAUUAUUCAGUGUUAUUGAUUAUACUUGAAAGGGGCAUUAUGUACCAUAUAUGUAAUAAAAUAAAUACAUGUACGAAAAUCAAAUACAUAUUAUCAAGUCCAUGCAUCGUAAACUGUUUGUUAAAGACUUUUAAUACGACCGCAACAUUUUUUAGUUAUAUUGCUAUCAUGUCGUUGUCCGAGACACAUUUGGUUUCCAAACAAUAACUUAAGUUUAUGUGAAUGGAUCGCUUUAAAAUUUUACCAGAUGGUUCAAUACUACAAAAGAAAGGUAGGGAUUAAGUUUGGGGGUAAUACAUUUAGGAAGUCGGGGGCCAAAAAAUGACCAAAUACAUGCAAGAAUUAUAUUUCAGUUUUCAGACAAAAGCUUGUGUUAAAGUGUAUGGAUCGCAUUGAAAUUGUAAUACAAGAUAUCAUACCUUAAAGGAGUAGGCUGGGAUUUACUUAAGGGUAAUUUCUCCAAAGGGGGGAGGUAAACAAAAAGGGGCUCAAUUUUUUUUUCGAUUAUACAAUUGUUUGUGUUUUAUGUGUAAUUUUGUCUGUUUUUUUUUUAUCAGAGUGAGCAUUGGGACAAGUUGCGCUAGAGACUGUAUCUAAUUCGGAAUAUUCUCAUUGCACAAAAACUUUACAAAUAGAUAUAGGAAGAUGUGGUGUGAGUGCCAAUGAGACAGCUCUCCAUCCAAAUAAUAAUUUAUAAAAGUAAACCAUUAUAGGUCAAUGUACGCCCUUCAACACGGAGCCUUGGCUCACACCAAACAAUAAGCUAUAAAGGGCCCCAAAUUACUAGUGUAAACCCAUUCAAACGGGAAAACCAACGGUCUCAUCUAUAUAACAAACAUGUUACUAUAUCCUUUACGCACCUGCCCCAGGUGACUUCUGCAUUUUGAUAACUGCUUAACAAUCUUGUUCAUGAGCACUAUCCUCGAGAAGGAUACUAUAAUAACUCUUUUUGAUUUUUAUUUAUGCAUGUUGUGAUUAAAAGUGCUAGAAUAUAAAUAAAAGCUAUUUUAUAAAGAAUGUAAUGCUGCUUCUGGUGCAUGGUCAAGAAACACUAAACAUUACGGGUUAUAUGACUACAUAUAUUAUUAACUCAUGUAUAUUUCACGUUAUGGGUUUUUUUUGUUUGUAUUAUCUAUAUUGUAU